GCGGUCGUAGCUCAACGGAUAGAGCACCAGGCUUCGAACCUGUAGGUUGGGGGUUCGAGUCCCUCCGACCGCG
rnacentral:tRNA from 1 species